GACGUAGGGCGCGAGCGUUGUCCGGAUUUAUUGGGCGUAAAGAGCUCGUAGGCGGCUUGUCGCGUCGUUCGUGAAAACCUGCAGCUCAACUGCAGGCUUGCGGUCGAUACGGGCAGGCUAGAGUUCGGUAGGGGAGGCUGGAAUUCCUGGUGUAGCGGUGAAAUGCGCAGAUAUCAGGAGGAACACCGGUGGCGAAGGCGGGUCUCUGGGACGAUACUGACGCUGAGGAGCGAAAGCGUGGGGAGCGAACAGG
rnacentral:rRNA from 1 species